UUUAAUUCUUAACUGGAAAAUAAAAAUAAAUUUGUAUUAGUUUUUCUAUUUCAUAAAAACUCACUUUUUAUCUGUUCUAAGUAGUUUAUUUUACAUAAAUAUAUAAAUUUUUCAGAAGAACUGAACAUAGAAGUGACAUUAAAGGAAGAUUUGAGAAGACGUGAUGACAGUGAAAACAGCCAGGACCAGGUUGAAGGAAAAAGAAAGAGUGGAAAAACUGACACCCAGCAGUUGCCUACUGAGAAGAAAGAAGAACAUGAUAGGUAAGACUAUGGAAAUAUUUGACCAUAAAUAGUUACUGUUCUGUACAACAAAAUCUAACGUGAGCCUGUAUUUGUGAUUAAGAAGUUAUUUGCUUUUACUAGAGAUACUCAGCUUUGAAUGACUGUCAGAAAAAUACAGACAAUUUAGAUAUCAUUUUUCCAAUUGUCUUGAGAAAUGUUUUUUAAACAUUUGGAUGAAUUAGCCAGUCUGAGGAAACAGACAUCAUUAUGUACUGUUAGUAAGUGAAAUUAUUAAGUGCAUUUGAACAAUUUAAUAGCAUUAAUUAAAUCUCAAUGAUUUCAUUGUUUUAAUCUAAUGCCUUCUCUUAUGAAACUGAAU
rnacentral:lncRNA from 1 species